UACGUAGGGCCCGAGCGUUAUCCGGUAUUAUUGGGCGUAAAGAGUACGUAGGCUGUUUGGUAAGACAGCGGUUAAAUAUCCGAGCUCAACUCGGAGUCUGCCGUUGUGACUGCCAGACUUGUCGGUAGCAGGGGCAAGCGGAAUUCUCGGUGUAGGAGUGAAAUCCGUUGAGAUCGAGAAGAACACCAAUGGCGAAGGCAGCUUGCUAGGUUACUUGAGACGCUGAGGUACGAAAGCGUGGGGAGCGAACGGG
rnacentral:rRNA from 1 species